rnacentral:rRNA from 1 species
GACGAACGCUGGCGGCGUGCUUAACACAUGCAAGUCGAACGGAAAGGCCCUGCUUUUGUGGGGUGCUCGAGUGGCGAACGGGUGAGUAACACGUGAGUAACCUGCCCUUGACUUUGGGGUAACUUCAGGAAACUGGGGCUAAUACCGGAUAGGAGCUCCUGCUGCAUGGUGGGGGUUGGAAAGUUUCGGCGGUUGGGGAUGGACUCGCGGCUUAUCAGCUUGUUGGUGGGGUAGUGGCUUACCAAGGCUUUGACGGGUAGCCGGUCUGAGAGGGUGACCGGCCACAUUGGGACUGAGAUACGGCCCAGACUCCUACGGGAGGCAGCAGUGGGGAAUAUUGCACAAUGGGCGGAAGCCUGAUGCAGCAACGCCGCGUGCGGGAUGACGGCCUUCGGGUUGUAAACCGCUUUCGCCUGUGACGAAGCGUGAGUGACGGUAAUGGGUAAAGAAGCACCGGCUAACUACGUG